rnacentral:tRNA from 1 species
GGGGAAUUAGCUCAGUUGGUUAGAGCAGAAAACUGUUAAUUUUAAGGUCAUAGGUUCAAGUCCUAUAUUCCCCG